rnacentral:rRNA from 1 species
GUCACGCUGUAACGAUGUCGAUUUGGAGGUUGUUCCCUUGAGGAGUGGCUUCCGGAGCUAACGCGUUAAAUCGACCGCUGGGGAGUACGGCCGCAAGGUUAAAACUCAAAUGAAUUGACGGGGGCCCGCACAAGCGGUGGAGCAUGUGGUUUAAUUCGAUGCAACGCGAAGAACCUUACCUACUCUUGACAUCCAGAGAAUUUAGCAGAGAUGCUUUAGUGCCUUCGGGAACUCUGAGACAGGUGCUGCAUGGCUGUCGUCAGCUCGUGUUGUGAAAUGUUGGGUUAAGUCCCGCAACGAGCGCAACCCUUAUCCUUUGUUGCCAGCACAUUAUGGUGGGAACUCAAAGGAGACUGCCGGUGAUAAACCGGAGGAAGGUGGGGAUGACGUCAAGUCAUCAUGGCCCUUACGAGUAGGGCUACACACGUGCUACAAUGGCGUAUACAAAGAGAAGCGACCUCGCGAGAGCAAGCGGAACUCAUAAAGUACGUCGUAGUCCGGAUUGGAGUCUGCAACUCGACUCCAUGAAGUCGGAAUCGCUAGUAAUCGUAGAUCAGAAUGCUACGGUGAAUACGUUCCCGGGCCUUGUACACACCGCCCGUCACACCAUGGGAGUGGGUUGCAAAAGAAGUAGGUAGCUUAACCUUCGGGAGGGCGCUUACCACUUUGUGAUUCAUGACUGGGGUGAAGUCGUAACAAGGUAACCA